UACGAAGGGGGGCUAGCGUUGCUCGGAAUGACUGGGCGUAAAAGGGCGCGUAGGCGGACGGCUUUUGUCGGGCGUGAAAUUCCAGGGCUUAACCUUGGGGCUGCGUUCGAGACGGGUUGUCUAGAGUUUUGGAAGAGGGGUCGUGGAAAUUCCCCAGUGUAGAGGUGAAAAUUCGUAGAUAUUGGGAAGAACACCGGUGGCGAAGGCGGCGACCUGGUCCUUGACUGACGCUGAGGCGCGAAAGCGUGGGAGCAAACAGG
rnacentral:rRNA from 1 species